GCAUAAAAUCGGCUAUUUUUCCCUCUUUUGCCCAUGUUAUAACGGGACCAAAACCAUGUGUUAACAUAGUCACGCGCCCUUGUUAUAGCCCGGUUUCACCUAUGCGCAAUACAUACAGGGCCCAGUAAACAAACAAACAAAAAAUGACGAUUUGGCCUGUUUGCCGAAGAGCCAUGCGCUCUUGUUAAAUUGAAAUUUAUUGAUUCGAGGGCCUCAGUUGCAUAUUCCAGUAACUAUGCCGGAAAAACGGCGUAUAGACAUCGGUGCUAAAUCUUGGUUGUCGCCCUUUCUAAGAAACGGACAGUUGUCAAUGUAAACAAAUACUGAAGAAUCUACCUGUCAUUCAGUUUAACACUCCGAUUAACUUACAAAACUAGAUAACACAAAAUUGAUAUGAGAAUAUGUUUUUUUUAUUUAUGUUAAUGUUGAUAAAUGCUCAUUAUAUUUCUUUGAGAGAAUAAUGCUUAGUGCCUGAUUUUGUUAUAAACUGGUUUGCUUGAAAAAAAUAACCGAUUCUGAUGUCACUGAUCUUUUUUCUACCGUCAAUCUGAAAUCACUCUAAGAAUUUCUGAGGGUCAUGUUUUGUCUUGGGUAGAGGGUAGAGUAAUGUAACGUUUUUUUUCUUGAGAUAAUAAAUCUCCAAAGGCCAAG